CGAGCCGAACGGACGGCCGCGUCGAGGUCUUCAGAUCUCGCCGAGGAAAGUCCGGGCACCACAGGGCAGGGUGGUUGUUAACGGCAACCCGGGGCGACUCGCGGGACCAGUGCCACAGAAAACAGACCGCCAGUGCGCAUGCGUGCUGGUAAGGGUGAAACGGUGGUGUAAGAGACCACCAGCGUUCCGGGUGACCGGAGCGGCUAGGUAAACCCCACCCGGUGCAAGGUCGAGAAGAAUCACCUUGGGAACAAGGUGAUUCGCGCAGACGAUCGAGGGCGGCCCGCCCGAGUCUGCGGGUGGACCGCUAGAGCCUGCCGGCAACGGCAGGCCGAGAUGGAUGGCCGUCUCUCGCGACGAGAGUUGCGAGAACAGAACCCGGCUUAUGUUCGACUCGUCCG
rnacentral:RNase_P_RNA from 1 species